rnacentral:rRNA from 1 species
CCUACGGGAGGCAGCAGUGGGGAAUAUUGCACCAUGGGGGAAACCCUGAUGCAGCGACGCCGCGUGAGCGAUGAAGUAUUUCGGUAUGUAAAGCUCUAUCAGCAGGGAAGCAAAUGACGGUACCUGACUAAGACGCCCCGGCUAACUACGUACCAACCGCCGCGGUAAUACGUAGGGGGCAAGCGUUAUCCUGAUUUACUGGGUGUAAAGGGAGCGUAGACGGCUGUGCAAGACAGAGGUGAAAGCCCGGGGCUCAACCCCGGGACUGCAUUUGGAACUGUUUGGCUGGAGUGUCGGAGAGGCAGGCGGAAGUCCUAGUGUAGCGGUGAAAUGCGUAGAUAGUAGGAGGAACACCAGUGGCGAAGGCGGCCUGCUGGACGAUGACUGACGUUGAGGCUCGAAAGCGUGGGGAGCAAACAGGAUUAGAUACCCGUGUAGUC